rnacentral:rRNA from 1 species
GAUGAACGCUGACAGAAUGCUUAACACAUGCAAUUCACUUGAAAUUGGGGUUUUAAAUUAGGUUUGGGUGGCGGACGGGUGAGUAAAGCGUUAAGAACUUGCCUCACAGCUAGGGACAACAUUUGGAAACGAAUGCUAAUACCUAAUAUUAUGAUAAUAGGGCAUCCUAUAAUUAUGAAAGCUAUAAGCGCUGUGAGAGAGCUUUGCGUGCCAUUAGCUAGUUGGAGAGGUAACGGCUCACCAAGGCGAUGAUGGGUAGCCGGCCUGAGAGGGUGAUCGGCCACAAGGGGACUGAGACACGGCCCUUACUCCUACGGGAGGCAGCAGUGGGGAAUAUUGGACAAUGGACCGAGAGUCUGAUCCAGCAAUUCUGUGUGCACGAUGAAGUUUUUCGGAAUGUAAAGUGCUUUCAGUUGGGAAGAAACAAAUGACGGUACCAACAGAAGAAGUGACGGCUAAAUACGUG